CGUUUGACCUCGGAUCAGGUAGGGAUACCCGCUGAACUUAAGCAUAUCAAUAAGCGGAGGAAAAGAAACCAACAGGGAUUGCCCUAGUAACGGCGAGUGAAGCGGCAACAGCUCAAAUUUGAAAUCUGGCUCUUUCAGAGUCCGAGUUGUAAUUUGCAGAGGGCGCUUUGGCUUUGGCAGCGGUCCAAGUUCCUUGGAACAGGACGUCACAGAGGGUGAGAAUCCCGUACGUGGUCGCUAGCUAUUGCCGUGUAAAGCCCCUUCGACGAGUCGAGUUGUUUGGGAAUGCAGCUCUAAAUGGGAGGUAAAUUUCUUCUAAAGCUAAAUAUUGGCCAGAGACCGAUAGCGCACAAGUAGAGUGAUCGAAAGAUGAAAAGCACUUUGGAAAGAGAGUCAAACAGCACGUGAAAUUGUUGAAAGGGAAGCGCUUGCAGCCAGACUUGCUUGCAGUUGCUCAUCCGGGCUUUUGCCCGGUGCACUCUUCUGCAGGCAGGCCAGCAUCAGUUUGGGCGGUGGGAUAAAGGUCUCUGUCACGUACCUUCCUUCGGGUUGGCCUUAUAGGGGAGACGCCAUACCACCAGCCUGGACUGAGGUCCGCGCAUCUGCUAGGAUGCUGGCGUAAUGGCUGUAAGCGGCCCGUCUUGAAACACGGACCAAGGAGUCUAACAUCUAUGCGAGUGUUUGGGUGUCAAGCCCGAGCGCGUAAUGAAAGUGAACGGAGGUGGGAACCCGCAAGGGUGCACCAUCGACCGAUCCUGAAGUUUACGGAAGGAUUUGAGUAAGAGCAUGGCUGUUGGGACCCGAAAGAUGGUGAACUAUGCUUGAAUAGGGUGAAGCCAGAGGAAACUCUGGUGGA
rnacentral:rRNA from 1 species